ensembl:snRNA
GUGUUUUAUGAAAGGAGAGAAGGUUAGCACUUCCCUUGAUAAGGAAGGAAGAGGCCCUUGUAGCCUAUACAACAUGCAUACAGUUAAGGCACUGCUACCUACUUCAUGGCAUCUAACCAUGUUUC